rnacentral:rRNA from 2 species
CCCUGCGCCGCUUACCGUGCAGUCGAACGAUGAACCACUUCGGUGGGGAUUAGUGGCGAACGGGUGAGUAACACGUGGGCAAUCUGCCCUUCACUCUGGGACAAGCCCUGGAAACGGGGUCUAAUACCGGAUAACACUGCGGAUCUCAUGGUCUGCGGUUAAAAGCUCCGGCGGUGAAGGAUGAGCCCGCGGCCUAUCAGCUUGUUGGUGAGGUAAUGGCUCACCAAGGCGACGACGGGUAGCCGGCCUGAGAGGGCGACCGGCCACACUGGGACUGAGACACGGCCCAGACUCCUACGGGAGGCAGCAGUGGGGAAUAUUGCACAAUGGGCGAAAGCCUGAUGCAGCGACGCCGCGUGAGGGAUGACGGCCUUCGGGUUGUAAACCUCUUUCAGCAGGGAAGAAGCGAAAGUGACGGUACCUGCAGAAGAAGCGCCGGCUAACUACGUGCCAGCAGCCGCGGUAAUACA